rnacentral:misc_RNA from 1 species
GGGUCCGCAGUAUUCUUAUUUUAAAAGUUAUAUUCCUGGUUCAGAAAAGGUGUAAGCGUUUACGAACGAGCGAAAGGUUAAUUUUCGAUAAUAUUCGUUUUUGUUUUUUUACUACAAAUCGUUUUAACCAGUGUCAGAGCUAGCGUUUCCUUCUUCAAAAUGUCAUUUCAAAGGCCAUUUCUAGUUUCCAUGAAGCGACCCGAUUCCCAACAAGCGUGGGGGUUCCGGGUCGUGGGAGGAAGAAAUCAAGAUCAUCCUGUGAUGAUACUCAAGGUAGUUCCAGCUAGUAUAGCUGAGCAAGCAGGAUUGUAUAAGGGCGAUGAAGUGAUACAGGUGGGACGUGACAAUGUUCAAGAUAUGACACAUGACGAAGUCCAGGAUGUUAUCCGGAAAUGUGGAAACCGAUUAGAAAUGGUCGUAGUAAGGAUUGAGAACAAACCAAGUACUCCAGGUCCGCUUUCUUCUCCUGUGAUCCAGAGAUCUGUGGUACUACAGGCCUUGCUAGAAGAGGAAUCAAAAGGAAGGCAUUAUAUGGACAGCCCACAAACUCCCCCAGCACAAAAAAAGCAGCCACCGUCACCUCCCCCUAAGCCAAAACCUCCAAUUCGUGGUCAAAUCUUACAGCCACCACAAGACCCAACAAAGUCUCCAUCUUUCUACUCCUAUAUUUCCGAACAACCUACAAUUACGUCAUCGUCAUGCGCAUCUCAAAGCAUUAUUUAUUCUGAUCAGUACACUCAUCAGGAAAAUAGCAGAACAUCUACCUAUCAGCAACAAAAACAGUAUUACCAAAUGAUACAGCCCCGUUCUCCCGUUAUUACUACUAACGAGUCACAUCAGUGGAAUCCAUUAUCAUCAGCAUUUGAUUACCAUCAACAAAAAAGUGUCACGCAUACAAGUGAUCAAGAAAAGUCUGCGCCACCUGUACCUCCUCGUCUUUCUCAGUCAACAUAUCAGAAAACGAUAACAAGAGAUCAGAUUUCAUACGCAAACUCAACGGAAGCGAGCGUUGAACAUAAGUAUAACCAACCAGUCAUAAGUCUAACUAGUACACGUAAAACACAAUCGUCAUAUCAACACCCAACUAGUAUUCCAGCCUCUAUCCAAGCUUUUCACUCAACUUCUCAGCAACCAACACCUGCACAACCUAGUUAUCAAGAGCCAAACACUGUUACCAAAGUUGAUUAUCAAUCUUACCAGCCACAAACCUCUGCACGUAUUCAACCAGAUUAUCCGAAAACAAACACUCUCUCGGCUACUAAAAAUGUUACUCAGCUAGAAAUACAUGCAUAUGGUCAACCUAAUUAUACACAACCAACUACUACCAAUGUAAACCACACAGCUUAUGAAAAACUAACACAAGUACCCAUAUCCACAGCUACAGUUUUCACUGAAACGAAAGGUAUUCCACCAUCCCCUACAACUGAACGUGUUCAACGGAACUAUCAAGGAAUAGUUCAACAGACCUCGUCUCCAGAACACCUCCAGAGACGACAUUAUUUCUCACAACAAAUUCAAGAACAAAACCGUCCACAAAGUCAAACGUCUAUGACCAGAAUGUCACCCAGUCCAUCUGCAUCACCAUCUUUGUCUCGUAGGUUGAGAACUGCUGAAGGGAUCUGGCCACCCAAGAAUCCUACUUCAAAACAACUACCGAGAAUAGGGUUCCCGUCUGGCUGGACGAAAGAAAGUAGCCAUGGGAAAAAAACGACCUGGCCACCCAUAAAACCUGGAGAAUCUGAUGAUGAAUCUGGUGGUCGUAUUACACCAACCAUCACUCCUCGGUCUGGCGCUAUCGUGCAUGCCUGGAAUCCUCGUCCUUCGACUCCCCCUUGUCGCACUCCUCCAUUUGCUGGAGGAUCUCCCUUGUUGGGGCGUCGGAACAAGGAUAUUGCUUGGCCACCUCGGUUCACCGAAAAGCAAAAUACCAAGAAGUCCACUUCUAAGCCUUUAAGGAAGGCUCAUAGUUUUGAAGAAUACGUUGUUCAACAUGCUAGUGUUACUGUUCCUCCUACAUAUCGUCCACCCCCUCAUGUUGACCAUAUGCAACCUACCAACACAUAGGUUUUCACCAUAAAUGAGGGAGACUACAAGAGACUUUAAUCCCUCAGAAACAACCCUAGAUAUCAAAAUAAAGAUAAUAUUUCUUCCCGGAAGUGGAGCGUUCUUCCUUUUAUCAACAG